GGAGGUACUUUCAAUGUUAGAGCAUUUUUGCUGUAUGGUUGCGGAAACAUUUUUCUCUGAGCUGACCAUGAAUGAUAUGAGAGGACAGGGAACAGUUUCUUGUCAAGAGUUUGGCCAAUUCAUCGGAAAUUCAAUAGUACACAUUCAGAUACGAUUUGAUCCAGAAAGGAAAUUUUCUUAUCGUACUAAGCGGGCUAUAGUCUACAAUUUGGUUGACGAUACGGACUCUGUAGAUCAGAUGGAAAGCAUUCAAGACCCCAGCAGAAACAAUUCGCAUGAAAUGCCAGCAGAUAUUACAUUCAGUUUCGACUCGGGUCGCGAGAGUGCGACAUAAACAGCGAGAGUUUGAGCCCGGGAUUAAAUCGAGUUUAACUCUCACACGAUGCAGGGUUUGAUGGAGCAAAGAUGGCGUCACGCGGUAAUAACAACAUGGUACAAAUAAAGAUAGAUGGGCAAUAAUGUCUGCUAGAUGAGAGUCUGGCUACCGUUUUUCUUUCAGAAGAUGGUGACCCGAAGACAAAGAGGGCCAUUAGGGAAGCACUUUCAACCAGUCACAAGAAUUCCACUUCCCUAGAUACAUCAACUUCUUCUAGAGCAUCAACUUCACGCGUAUUUGAGACCACCCCUUCUUGCUCAGCGUCAUCAGAAUCUACAUCAUCUGGACCUUCUACACCCUCCAGUUCUGACUCGCAGAACACAAUGCAUGUUUGGAAGGAAAGUGAAGAACGAUUUUUAAUUGAUUUAAGGCGCCACAGGGAGGACAAAUUUUCAGGCACAAAAUCUCAUGAUGUUCUUUGGGGAUAAAUAGCAAGUGAAAUGAAAAAAAAUGGCAUACAUGUUUCCAAAACACAACUGAUCAAUAAGUGGAAGGCAUUGAAAAAAAAAUACAAAGAAAUAAAUGAUGAAAAUAACAAAACCGGCAAUAAAAAGUAUUCCUGGAAGUAGUUAGAGCGGUUCAGUGAGGUUUAUGGCAAUAAGGCCUCCACAAAGGUAUCUGUGUCCUUUGACACAGGACGCUCCAGAGAUAAACUAAAAAUCAAUACA